rnacentral:rRNA from 1 species
AGCGAACGCUGGCGGCGUGCCUAACACAUGCAAGUCGAACGGAGAUAAGGGGCUUGCUCCUUAUUUUAGUGGCGCACGGGUGAGUAACGCGUAGAUAAUCUGCCUGAUGAUCUGGGAUAACAGUUCGAAAGGACUGCUAAUACCGGAUAAGCCCACGGGGUCUUUGGACUCUGCGGGAAAAGGGGGGGACCUUCGGGCCUUCUGUCAUCAGAUGAGUCUGCGUACCAUUAGCUAGUUGGUAGGGUAAUGGCCUACCAAGGCUACGAUGGUUAGCUGGUCUGAGAGGAUGAUCGGCCACACUGGAACUGAGACACGGUCCAGACUCCUACGGGAGGCAGCAGUGGGGAAUUUUGCGCAAUGGGCGAAAGCCUGACGCAGCAACGCCGCGUGAGUGAUGAAGGCUUUCGGGUCGUAAAGCUCUGUCAGAGGGAAAGAAGUGUAUUGUGGCUAAUAUCCACGAUACUUGACGGUACCCUCAAAGGAAGCACCGGCUAACUCCGUGCCAGCAGCCGCCGUAAGAC